rnacentral:tRNA from 1 species
GCCUUAGCUCAGUUGGUAGAGCAGCUGAUUUGUAAUCAGCAGGUCGCGAGUUCGAGUCUCGCAAGCG